rnacentral:tRNA from 1 species
GGGGAUAUUGCUCAGUGGUAGAGCCCUUGCCUAUCAUCCACAAGGUCCUGGGUUCAAUCUCCAGUACCUCCA